rnacentral:rRNA from 1 species
UACAGAGGGUGCUAGCGUUGUUCGGAAUCAUUGGGCGUAAAGGGCGUGUAGGCGGUUUGUUAAGUCAUGUGUGAAAUCCCUCGGCUCAACCGGGGAACGACGCAUGAAACUGGCAAGCUAGAGUACCAAAGAGGGGGGUGGAAUUCCCGGUGUAGCGGUGAAAUGCGUAGAUAUUGGGAGGAACACCAGUGGCGAAGGCGGCUCACUGGACCGGUACUGACGCUGAUGCGCGAAAGCGUGGGGAGCAAACAGG